GCCCAUGUAGCUCAGCUGGUAGAGCAGAGCAUUCGUAAUGCUAAGAUCGCUGGUUCGAAUCCAGCCAUGGGCU
rfam:Candidatus Omnitrophica bacterium CG1_02_41_171 cg1_0.2_scaffold_27864_c, whole genome shotgun sequence.